UACGUAGGGGGCAAGCGUUGUCCGGAUUUAUUGGGCGUAAAGAGCGUGUAGGCGGCCAGACAGGUCCGUUGUGAAAACUCGAGGCUCAACCUCGAGACGCCGAUGGAAACCGUCUGGCUAGAGUCCGGAAGAGGAGAGUGGAAUUCCUGGUGUAGCGGUGAAAUGACGCAGAUAUCAGGAGGAACACCGGUGGCGAAGGCGGUUCUCUGGGCCUGACCUGACGCUGAGGAGCGAAAGCGUGGGGAGCGAACAGG
rnacentral:rRNA from 1 species